AUAUCAUUUAGCGGAGGACAAGAAAACAACCGUGAUUCCCUGAGUAACGGCGAGUGAACAGGGAACAGCCUAUGCUUGAAUCCGCAGCGGAAGGAAUCGGAAGCUGUGGAAUUGUAGUGCAAGGGCCAAGGGGCACCCAUACAGUCAGAUGAAGCAUAAUGGAAAGUGUCACCGAGGAGGGCGAACGUCCCGUAACGUCUGUACGCGUGUGGGUGAACUCCCCGAGGACUCCAAGAGUCGCGCAGUUUGAUAGUGCUGUGCAAACCGCAGGUGUACUUCUGCGAAGGCUAAAUAUUGCACCAAGACCGAUAGCGAACAAGUAGUGUGAACGAAAGAUGAAAAGCACUUUGGAAAGAGAGUGAAAAAGACCUUGAAGUCGUUGGGCGCAAAGGGUAAGAGACCCAUUAGCCGUCACGUGAAAGCGUGACUUGUCAGUGCAAGUUAUCUGAUUCUGCGCGUGAGGUUUGGAUGAAUCCUUCGGGACCUCUGAGGACCUCAACGAGAGCAGCAAUCGGGUGACUUGAAAAGUGACGUGAUGAAGGAGUGCUUGUGUUUG
rnacentral:rRNA from 1 species